rnacentral:rRNA from 1 species
GAACGAGAAAGUGGAGCAAUCCAUGAGUAAAGUGGCGCACGGGUGAGUAACACGUGACUAACCUACCUUUUAGUGGGGGAUAACCUAGGGAAACCUGGGCUAAUACCGCAUAAUACUUACGAGUCAAAGCAGCAAUGCGCUGAAAGAGGGGGUCGCGGUCGAUUAGUUCGUUGGCAGGGUAAUGGCCUACCAAGACUGUGAUCGAUAUCCGGCCUGAGAGGGCGCACGGACACACUGGAACUGAAACACGGUCCAGACUCCUACGGGAGGCAGCAGUGGGGAAUUUUGCGCAAUGGGGGAAACCCUGACGCAGCAACGCCGCGUGGAGGAUGAAGUCCCUUGGGACGUAAACUCCUUUCGAUCGGGACGAUAAUGACGGUACCGGAAGAAGAAGCCCCGGCUAACUUCGUGC